AUUCCGGUUGAUCCUGCCGGAGGCCAUUGCUAUUGGGAUCCGAUUUAGCCAUGCUAGUCGCACGAGUUCAGACUCGUGGCGAAUAGCUCAGUAACACGUGGCCAAACUACCCUUCGGAGCUCCAUACCCUCGGGAAACUGAGGUUAAUAGAGCAUCUCACACCACCACUGGAAUGAGUCGUGUGACAAACGCUCCGGCGCUACUCAGACCUCGUCUGAGUGCGCACCGAGACGCUUUGCGUCUCGGUUGCGCCGAAGGAUGUGGCUGCGGCCGAUUAGGUGAGAACCCGGAGACGGAAUCUGAGACAAGAUUCCGGGCCCUACGGGGCGCAGCAGGCGCGAAACCUUUACACUGCACGCCAGUGCGAUAAGGGGAUCCCAAGUGCGCAGGCAUAGAGCCUGCGCUUUUGUACACCGUAAGGAGGUGUACGAAAAGGGCUGGGCAAGACCGUGCCAGCCGCCGCGGUAAUACCGGCAGCCCGAGUGAUGGCCGAUCUUAUUGGGCCUAAAGC
rnacentral:rRNA from 1 species